rnacentral:RNase_P_RNA from 1 species
AGUCGGUUACACGGUCGCGGAGCGCCGCGAGGCGCGAUGAGGAAAGUCCGGGCAUCGCAGGGCAGGACGCCUGCUAACGGCAGGUGAAGGCGACUUUAAGGAAAGUGCAACAGAAAUAGACCGCCGCGCAAGCGGUAAGGAUGGAAAGGCGAGGUAAGAGCUCACCGACGGAACGGUAACGCUCCGUGCCAUGUAAACCCCGUCCGAUGCAAGUUUGGGUUUUGCUCAACAGGGUUGCCCGCCCGAGCAAAACCGUGAAUAACGCUUGAACUUAUCGGCGACGAUAAGUCUAGAUAAAUGACCGUGCACGACAGAACCCGGCUUACAGACCGACUCG